CCUACGGGGGGCAGCAGUGGGGAAUAUUGGACAAUGGGGGGAACCCUGAUCCAGCCAUGCCGCGUGUGUGAAGAAGGCCCUCGGGUUGUAAAGCACUUUCAGUGAGGAAGAACGCCUGGUGGUUAAUACCCAUCAGGAAAGACAUCACUCACAGAAGAAGCACCGGCUAACUCCGUGCCAGCAGCCGCGGUAAUACGGAGGGUGCGAGCGUUAAUCGGAAUUACUGGGCGUAAAGCGCGCGUAGGUGGCUUGAUAAGCCGGUUGUGAAAGCCCCGGGCUCAACCUGGGAACGGCAUCCGGAACUGUCAAGCUAGAGUGCAGGAGAGGAAGGUAGAAUUCCCGGUGUAGCGGUGAAAUGCGUAGAGAUCGGGAGGAAUACCAGUGGCGAAGGCGGCCUUCUGGACUGACAAUGACACUGAGGUGCGAAAGCGUGGGUAGCAAACAGGAUUAGAUACCCUGGUAGUC
rnacentral:rRNA from 1 species